rnacentral:rRNA from 1 species
GAUGAACGCUGGCGGCGUGCCUAAUACAUGCAAGUCGAGCGAACAGACGAGGAGCUUGCUCCUCUGACGUUAGCGGCGGACGGGUGAGUAACACGUGGAUACCCUACCUAUAAGACUGGGAUAACUUCGGGACACCGGAGCUAAUACCGGAUAAUAUAUUGAACCGCAUGGUUCAAUAGUGAAAGACGGUUUUGCUGUCACUUGUAGAUGGAUCCGGGCCGCAUUAGCUAGUUGGUAGUGUCGUGGCUUACCAAGGCUACGAUGGGUAGCCGACCUGAGAGGGUGAACGGCGACAGUGGGACUGCGAUACGGCCCAGACUCCUAUGGGAGGUAGCAGUGGGGAAUAUUGCACAAUGGGCGGAAGCCUGAUGAAGCAACGGCGCGUGCGGGAUGACGUCCUUCGGGUUGUAAACCGCUUUCGCCUGUGAAGAAGCGUGAGUGACGCUAAUGGGUAAAGAAGCACCGGCUAACUACGUG